CCAGGCCCCCCAUUGCAAAUAGGCCCACAGGAGUGACAGCAGUGACAGGAAUAAUCUCUUUCCUGUCACAGACUGCCAGCGCCCAUGCUCUCUCCCGUGCAUCUCCUCCUCUGGCUCCAGCACUCACCUGAGAUCCGUGCAGGCAGUGUGGUAGCCGCCCCUCCCCUCCAGUCUCUCCUUCACUCAGGGCCCUGAGCCUGUCACUUACAGGCCCAAGCUCCGCCCCCAGACUGUACAGGGAGCUGCUGCUGAUGCAGGAAGCCUGGCAACGGACGGCGCGGAGGUGAUCAUGUCAUAGCCGGCGGACGGAGACGUGGCGCUCGACUCACCGUGUGCUGGUGGCAGUAAUUCCUACUUACUUAAGAUUGAGAACAUUACCAUGGCAACAAGUACAAUGAUUGUUUUGAAGAGGGGGUUAAAGACGCUUGGCAGCUUGUACAGGGUUAAGUCAAUUCCAUGUGGACCCAUGGCAGAUUAUGAAGCAGUGAAUUAAGUUAGCAGGGACUGCUGAUUGCCUUUGACCAGCACACUGCACCAAAGGCCAUCCAUCACUUGUACGGACAGCACUCAGGAGUGGCAGGAAUAGCAGUGCAGCAGUACUUAGAGCGGACCUGCAGCAACAUUACUGCUCACAAAAUGCUAUUAGUAUCUCAUGUGCAUAUACCGCAGACAAAACUUUUAGCCUUGUCUAGAACAAAGAAGCCCACCUGGUUCCUCCUAGGAGUGGUGUAAAUGAGAUUAUUACUCAGAUAUUGCUUGUGUUGGGAGAUGUGAUAAUCCAAUUAUUUAUUUGGCUAUGGCGGUGACAUUACCUGUAUAGGAAUCUCACCAGUCACUGUAACCCGUUACCCCGUCCUGCACUAGACACCGUCAGAGGUGGAAGAUGGAGAAGGACGCAGGAUUGGGAGCGUCUCAGUCCUUAGGCUUUUUAGACCGUAUGCAGCUGCUUUGGAUGGGUAUGCAUGAUGUGAGCCUGUCAAUCAGUCCAGAAGUAACAAGUGAAAUGUUGAAGUAACCAUCAUAGAACCUACUUACCUGAGGAUCUUCCUAAUAUAUGAUGUACCAUUGUAUACUGCAAUACAAUACCACUGAACCACCUAUAUAAAGUGUCACAAGAGGAGAAGGGGACUAUAUAAAGAAACAUCUCAAAACUCCUAACGUUUCACAGUCUAAAAUGAAAUGGUGAUAGCGAUUCACUGAAUAUUUAUUCUCAAAAAGAUUAAAAAUGUGUCAAGUGUAAUAAAAGGAAAAUAUCUUGUAUCAUAAAUAAAAUACAAAUCACUUCUUCAGAAUGACUUUCUAUUUACACAGGCCAAAUCCUCACAGGCUCAAACAAUCUGUAACGAGCAUGGGGGGUAUUUCCAUUAGA